rnacentral:rRNA from 1 species
GAUGAACGCUGGCGGCGUGCUUAACACAUGCAAGUCGAACGGGAAACCUUUUAUUGAAGCUUCGGCAGAUUUAGCUGGUUUCUAGUGGCGGACGGGUGAGUAACGCGUGGGCAACCUGCCUUAUACAGGGGGAUAACAGUCAGAAAUGACUGCUAAUACCGCAUAAGCGCACAGGACCGCAUGGUCCGGUGUGAAAAACUCCGGUGGUAUAAGAUGGACCCGCGUUGGAUUAGCUAGUUGGUGGGGUAACGGCUCACCAAGGCGACGAUCCAUAGCCGGCCUGAGAGGGUGAACGGCCACAUUGGGACUGAGACACGGCCCAGACUCCUACGGGAGGCAGCAGUGGGGAAUAUUGCACAAUGGGGGAAACCCUGAUGCAGCGACGCCGCGUGAAGGAAGAAGUAUCUCGGUAUGUAAACUUCUAUCAGCAGGGAAGAUAGUGACGGUACCUGACUAAGAAGCCCCGGCUAACUACGUGCCAGCCGCCGCUGUAA